rnacentral:rRNA from 1 species
AAUUUGCAGAGGAUGCUUCGGGUGCGGUCCCCGUCUAAGUGCCCUGGAACGGGCCGUCAUAGAGGGUGAGAAUCCCGUCUGGGAUGGGCGGCCGCGCCCGUGUGAAGCUCCUUCGACGAGUCGAGUUGUUUGGGAAUGCAGCUCUAAGCGGGUGGUAAAUUUCAUCUAAAGCUAAAUACUGGCCGGAGACCGAUAGCGCACAAGUAGAGUGAUCGAAAGAUGAAAAGCACUUUGAAAAGAGAGUUAAACAGCACGUGAAAUUGUUGAAAGGGAAGCGUUGUCCACCAGACUCGCCCGGGGGGGUUCAGCCGGCACGUGUGCCGGUGUACUCCUCUCCGGGCGGGCCAGCAUCGGUUUGGGCGGCUGGUGAAAGGCCCCGGGAAUGUAACACCCUUCGGGGUGCCUUAUAGCCCGGGGUGCCAUACAGCCAGCCUGGACCGAGGCCCGCGCUUCGGCGAGGAUGCUGGCGUAAUGGUGGUCAACGGCCCGUCUUGAAACACGGACCAAGGAGUCUAACAUCUAUGCGAGUGUUCGGGUGUCAAACCCGUCCGCGCAGUGAAAGCGAACGGAGGUGGGAGCCCCUCGGGGCGCACCAUCGACCGAUCCUGAUGUCUUCGGAUGGAUUUGAGUAAGAGCAUAGCUGUUGGGACCCGAAAGAUGGUGAACUAUGCCUGAAUAGGGCGAAGCCAGAGGAAACUCUGGUGGAGGCUCGCAGCGGUUCUGACGUGCAAAUCGAUCGUCAAAUUUGGGUAUAGGGGCGAAAGACUAAUCGAACCAUCUGGUAGCUGGUCCUGC